GUUCGUCCAGAAGGCGGCGGCGGCGGCAGCGGCCCAAGCGGCGGCGGCGCUGGGAUCCAGCAGCAGCUCCUCGGAUCACGAGGAAGUCUCCAAUUCCUCCUCGUCGGUCCCUUCCUUCGAGACGUGCUCGCCCUCCACCUCGUCCUGCGGGAACGUUUCCUCCUCUUUCUCCUCCGACGAGGAGGUGAGCAACGCAAAGGAGGAACAGGAAAGCGCGAAAUUGGGGAUCCAGCAGCAG
rnacentral:lncRNA from 1 species